UACGUAGGGUGCGAGCGUUGUCCGGAAUUAUUGGGCGUAAAGGGCUCGUAGGCGGUUUGUCGCGUCGGGAGUGAAAACCCAGGGCUUAACUCUGGGCUUGCUUUCGAUACGGGCAGACUAGAGGUAUGCAGGGGAGAACGGAAUUCCUGGUGUAGCGGUGAAAUGCGGCAGAUAUCAGGAGGAACACCGGUGGCGAAGGCGGGUCUCUGGGCCGAA
rnacentral:rRNA from 1 species